UACAGAGGGUGCGAGCGUUAAUCGGAAUUACUGGGCGUAAAGCGCACGUAAGUGGCGACGUAAGUCGGGUGUGAAAGCCCCGGGCUCAACCUGGGAAUUGCAUUCGAGAUUGCAUUGCUGGAGUACGGAAGAGGAGGGCGGAAUUCCCGGUGUAGCGGUGAAAUGCGUAGAUAUCGGGAGGAACAUCAGUGGCGAAGGCGGCCCUCUGGUCCAGUACUGACACUCAAGUGUGAAAGAGUGGGUAGCAAACAGG
rnacentral:rRNA from 1 species